rnacentral:rRNA from 1 species
AUUACGGAGAGUUUGAUUCUGGCUCAGAACGAACGCUGGCAGCGUGGAUUAGGCAUGCAAGUCGAACGAGAAUUCGUGCCUUCAAGCCGCAAGGUGAGAAGGCGCGGAGGAGAGUGGCGAAAGGGUGAGGAACACGUGGGCAAUCUAUCUCAAAGUUGAGUAUAACCCGUCGAAAGGUGGGCUAAUACUGAAUGUGAUCGUCCGUCGCAUGGCGGAUUGUUUAAAGGCAGGGACCCGCAAGGGCCUGUCGCUUGGAGAGGAGCCCGCGUCCUAUCAGCUUGUUGGUGAGGUGACGGCUCACCAAGGCGAUGACGGGUAGCUGGUCUGAGAGGAUGGUCAGCCACACUGGGACUGAGACACUGCCCAGACUCCUACGGGAGGCUGCAGUCGAGGAUCAUUUGCAAUGGGCGCAAGCCUGACAAUGCGACGCUGCGUGGAGGAUGACGGCCUUCGGGUUGUAAAGCUCUUUUCUGGGGGAAGAGGAAGGCUUUCCUUUUUGUCAAUGAUCAUGUAGUAUUUGGACUAAAAAGGGAGCGAAAGGGGGGUGAUGCAUAUGAAGAUGUCUAA